rnacentral:rRNA from 1 species
UAGGGAAUCUUCCGCAAUGGACGCAAGUCUGACGGAGCAACGCCGCGUGAGUGAAGAAGGAUUUCGGUUCGUAAAACUCUGUUGUUAGAGAAGAACAGCGCAUAGAGUAACUGUUAUGCGUGUGACGGUAUCUAACCAGAAAGCCACGGCUAACUACGUGCCAGCAGCCGCGGUAAUACGUAGGUGGCAAGCGUUAUCCGGAUUUACUGGGUGUAAAGGGAGCGUAGGCGGCAGUACAAGUCGGGAGUGAAAACUCGGGGCUCAACCCCGAGACUGCUCUCGAAACUGUACAGCUAGAGUGCAGGAAGGGCAGGCGGAAUUCCUGGUGUAGCGGUGAAAUGCGUAGAUAUCAGGAGGAACACCGGUGGCGAAGGCGGCCUGCUGGACUGUAACUGACGCUGAGGCUCGAAAGCGUGGGGAGCGAACAGG